rnacentral:rRNA from 1 species
AUUGAACGCUGGCGGCAUGCCUUACACAUGCAAGUCGAACGGCAGCACGGGUGCUUGCACCUGGUGGCGAGUGGCGAACGGGUGAGUAAUACAUCGGAACGUACCUUAUCGUGGGGGAUAACGCAGCGAAAGCUGUGCUAAUACCGCAUACGCCCUGAGGGGGAAAGCGGGGGAUCGCAAGACCUCGCGCGAUUAGAGCGGCCGAUGCCUGAUUAGCUUGUUGGUGGGGUAAAAGCCCACCAAGGCGACGAUCAGUAGCUGGUCUGAGAGGACGAUCGGGCACACUGGGACUGAGACACGGCCCAGACUCCUACGGGAGGCAGCAGUGGGGAAUUUUGGACAAUGGGGGCAACCCUGAUCCAGCAAUGCCGCGUGAGUGAAGAAGGCCUUCGGGUUGUAAAGCUCUUUUGUCAGGGAAGAAACACCGGCUCUAACACAGUCCGGGAAUGACGGUACCUGAAGAAUAAGCACCGGCUAACUACGUGCCAGCCGCCGCGGUAA